UCCUGGGUAGCCUUCAGCGUCCAAAACCCAGUUAAACAGGUUUCUUCUGGUUUCAUGUUGUGCGAUGCAGAUGAGCAUUGCCCUGGAUGAGAAGGACGCAGAAAGGGUUUCGCUGGAGAAGAAACUGGAGCAUGAGCUACACAAGGAACAUGAAGAACAGAGGGGACGGAUCAGAAAGUCGAAGGGAAGUGAAGCUUUCUUGAGAAAAUUACUGGGUUCGACGAAGAGUGAGGCAUCAGCUUUACAGGGUGAGCUUCAGAGAGAGAAAAGAUCAGUCAGGGAGCUCAAACAGCAGAUCGAUCGCGUGUGCAGUGACGUGGCUCGAGCUGGUGCGGAGAAGAGGUCUCUGGAAUCAAAAAUUCUGGACCAGUCGGAGACGGCGGAUCUUCUGCGGGACAGAUCGAGCUUACUGAACUUGGAGAUCAGAGACAAGGGCGAGACUAUAGACGAGCUCACCUCUUCGAUUGCUGAGAAGGAAUCGGACUCCGAGAGCCUGAGACAUCUCAUAGAUCAGUUGAAGAUUGAAACGCUGGAGUCUAGCUCUACGCUCUCCGACUUGGAAGCUGAGCUCCUCAAGACUGAAGAAGAACUGGAU
rnacentral:lncRNA from 1 species